AACGAACGCUGGCGGCAGGCUUAACACAUGCAAGUCGAACGCAUCCUUCGGGGUGAGUGGCAGACGGGUGAGUAACGCGUGGGAACGUGCCCUUCAGUUCGGGAUAACCCAGGGAAACUUGGGCUAAUACCGGAUACGUGCGAGAGCAGAAAGAUUUAUCGCUGAAGGAUCGGCCCGCGUCUGAUUAGCUAGUUGGUGGGGUAAUGGCCCACCAAGGCGACGAUCAGUAGCUGGUCUGAGAGGAUGAUCAGCCGCAUUGGGACUGAGACACGGCCCAAACUCCGACGGGAGGCAGCAGUGGGGAAUAUUGGACAAUGGGCGCAAGCCUGAUCCAGCCAUGCCGCGUGAGUGAUGAAGGCCUUAGGGUUGUAAAGCUCUUUCGUCCGGGACGAUAAUGACGGUACCGGAAGAAGAAGCCCCGGCUAACUUCGUGCCAGCAGCCGCGGUAA
rnacentral:rRNA from 1 species